ACUGAGACGAGUCAGAGUUUUCCCCGGCACGAGAAAAAGAGGGAAAGAAGUCGUCUUUUUCGGUGGGGUUUGUGUUUUAAUUCGGUUUUAAGCCUCGUUGUGCUGCCGAGUUCUCCCUCACAGACUUUCCUCACCCGUCGUCGCCUCAGAAGCGGCGCGGAUUUCCCGCCACAACUCGGGCUCGCGCCACGCGCGCCGCUCUUAAAGGGAAGGUGGCCAGGUGACAGCCAAUCAGACCGGGGCGCAGGCGGGAAAGGUGCCUUAACAUCCUCAACAUCUGGAGCUGAGGAGGCGGCAGAUGCGGGAGGGGGAGCUCCAGUCAACGGGACUGAGGCAGGAAAUUCACAGGUAUUAUUAUUAUUAUUAUUAUUAUUAUUAUUAUUAUUAUUAUCACUAAAAUAUUGAUCCUAAUUUUGCUUAAAAUAUUUUUACUUAAUCUUCACAAUUUAUAAUUAUAAUUAUAUAUAUAUAUAUAUAUAUAUAUAUUUCUGUUUGUUUUGUUUUGUUUAUUAUUCAUAGUCAUUUUGAUGUUGUUUUAAGUACAUUUGUUAUAUAUGCUCUUUGCUGUUGUAUGCACACAAAAAUUAUACUUGUUAAUUAUGUUAAUUAAAUAUAGCCUACUGGCACUGUGUAAUCUGCUCUACUACUUUCAAAUUUGUAGACAAGUUUUAUUGUGUUUUCUGUCUUUUCUAUCAAAUAAGUCUGAUGGGUUUGACUAUUUUACCCCUCAGGCUCCACAGUCCCGGUAGAGCAGCAGAGACCUCCGCUCUGGAGGAUCCCCAGAAAGCAGCUACACUUACUGUAAGUACUGGAUUACAUGCAUAUCACACUGACUAACCACAUAUAGAGAGGUGCUGCAUUAUAUAAUAAUAUAUAAUGUGAAAUGAGAAAUCUCAGGCUUAUAUGAGUUUUAAACAUUUUUCUUCUUUUUCUUUUCUUUUUUUGCUUUUUCUCUCUUUUUUGCUCUGUUUUCUCGCUGUCAGGCUGAUCGCUGCCCCGAUCUCACUGCACACAGCCUCCAACCUCCCAACCUCAGCAGCUCCUCCUGGUUUAAGAGAGGAAACAGGACACCCCUUAGCGCCCUCCCUCUGAAAGCUGUGUGUGUGUGUGUGUGUGCCUGUGAGUAUAUAUAUAUAUAUGUGUGUACUUUCAUUGUUUUUUUUUGCGGCUUGACCUGAUCUCUUCAUGACACCUUUACGAAUGUCUGGCACAGUGCUGCCAUUCAGGCGAACGAGUAAUAGCAGAUAACAGAUUAAUCAGGUUUAAAUAAAUAAAUAAAUCAUAAUUAUUUUGCA
rnacentral:lncRNA from 1 species